GAUGAACGCUGGCGGCGUGCCUAAUACAUGCAAGUCGAGCGAACAGAUAAGGAGCUUGCUCCUUUGACGUUAGCGGCGGACGGGUGAGUAACACGUGGGUAACCUACCUAUAAGACUGGGAUAACUUCGGGAAACCGGAGCUAAUACCGGAUAAUAUUUCGAACCGCAUGGUUCGAUAGUGAAAGAUGGUUUUGCUAUCACUUAUAGAUGGACCCGCGCCGUAUUAGCUAGUUGGUAAGGUAACGGCUUACCAAGGCGACGAUACGUAGCCGACCUGAGAGGGUGAUCGGCCACACUGGAACUGAGACACGGUCCAGACUCCUACGGGAGGCAGCAGUAGGGAAUCUUCCGCAAUGGGCGAAAGCCUGACGGAGCAACGCCGCGUGAGUGAUGAAGGUCUUCGGAUCGUAAAACUCUGUUAUUAGGGAAGAACAUACGUGUAAGUAACUGUGCACGUCUUGACGGUACCUAAUCAGAAAGCCACGGCUAACUACGUGCCAGCAGCCGCGGUAAUACGUAGGUGGCAAGCGUUAUCCGGAAUUAUUGGGCGUAAAGCGCGCGUAGGCGGUUUUUUAAGUCUGAUGUGAAAGCCCACGGCUCAACCGUGGAGGGUCAUUGGAAACUGGAAAACUUGAGUGCAGAAGAGGAAAGUGGAAUUCCAUGUGUAGCGGUGAAAUGCGCAGAGAUAUGGAGGAACACCAGUGGCGAAGGCGACUUUCUGGUCUGUAACUGACGCUGAUGUGCGAAAGCGUGGGGAUCAAACAGGAUUAGAUACCCUGGUAGUCCACGCCGUAAACGAUGAGUGCUAAGUGUUAGGGGGUUUCCGCCCCUUAGUGCUGCAGCUAACGCAUUAAGCACUCCGCCUGGGGAGUACGACCGCAAGGUUG
rnacentral:rRNA from 1 species